UUCAUUUAGUGCUGAGCAGUCGCUUUGAACGUUUGUAAUUUUGUCAGCGCGCUCUUCUCCUCGCUGAUGGUGUAGUAUCAUUAUACUUUUUUACCUACUACUCUAUACGAACGAUACUUGUGUGAUUAUUAUUGUUGUAGUAUCUAAUAUUUGUGUUGUACUUGGUACUAGGCGUUCAAAGAACAUAGAACACAGAAGAACGUUGGCGCUCUCUCGCCUUAGCUGCUGUUUAACUUGAAUAAUUGUGAGUGGAGUGUUUUGUUUUUAUUCCUCGCAAAGACGCUUUGAUUUCGAACGCUUAAAAAAUACUACGGAACUGCUUGUUUGUUGUGUGACGCGCGCUUUAUUGGAUAUAAAAGUUGAUUCAGAAAGUAAUCAUUGAUUAGCAUUGACAAAUAUAUAUUUACGAGCGUUCAUAACAGUAGCGCUGCGAAAGUGGUUCUGAAAAUAGAAAAAAAAAUAAAGAAAAAAUAGUCACAUCGCAAACGGAGGUCAGCGCGUGAAGACCGUUCGAAUAUAUAGACAUUAUAAGUAUACUUGCUGUGUUGGGACCUAUCGACGUCGUCUAUAGGAGAUUGUGUCCACAGACACCUGAAAUUUACUCAAUACACAUUCAAAAGCCGGCGUGUUGUGUACGUGUGUAACGGUCACGCAAAAAAGCACAAGAGCGCGCUGAGUGGUCACGACAACGAGGCUAUCGAAACGAGUCAGACAAGAGACGGGGUCUUGAGAAUUGUGCUGAUGUGUGUGUGUGUGCACGUACAAGUUAUUUCAGGUAAUCUUCAUUGCCACAGUUAAUCGUUGAGAUACAAAAAUAAGCAGAAAAAAGCAACUCACUCAGCUUGACUCACUCGGUCUUCGGCAGCUGUCUGAGUCAACACAAUGGCAUACGAAAAAGAUGUUAGUUGGAAUGAUGUUACACACAAAAGUACCCAAUCGAAAUGAAACAUCUUUGCGCUGUCUGUCGGUAAAAAUACCUAUAAGUAGUACAAAAACUUCCGUUUACCUGUGAUGAACUUCAGAUUUCUCAAAAAACCUUUAUAAGCCGAAACAACAAUACUAAUUAGGGAUACCAGCCGAGUCAGUGGAAUUUCAAAUGGAAUAUAUGUAUGUAUGCACAUGUUUGUACUUUCAUAUUUAUCAACGACUGAAUAUAUCGAUUUGUUUCGGAUACACUCAGUGAGUAGUUAUGUACUUGUUUGAUAAAAGUGCCUGAAAAGGGAAGCGUCGGUUGCAACGACUCUUAUUUAGGGGUCUUAACGAUAACUGUUGCGUAUACAUGUGUACUGUUACUAUGUAUUCAGAGUGAGAACAUGGCUACAGUCGUACAUACGUACCUACUUUUAUAUUGAUAUAAUUUAUCACUUUGGGUCGAAUAUCAAGUAUCUGUAAUUUAUUUUGUGGGCUUCUACAACCACCACGGUGUACGAGUGUAAAUGUGAUUCUUUGUUGCUCUGCUCGCAGCGGUAGUUUGAAAACUUUUGCUGUAUGGAACUCCCCUAGGGUGUUUCCACAAUUCAAAAACUGACUCUCAGGCAAAGUAUACCUUCAGAUAAAUUUUUAAAUGUAUUUGUACAUACAUACGUAUGCAUUAAGCAAUUUUGUACGGACAAUACAUAUAAAAACUUGAAAUUGGUAGCAGUCUUUGUAAUUUCCUGUCAGUUGUUUCCCCAGAUGCUAUUUUUUAUAGGAAGAGUUCAGAUUUAGCACGUAAUAGCGAUUACUCAGUUUUUAUGGCAGAGAAAAAUAUUGCUAUCACACAAUAAAGAAAAAAAUAAUUGAUUAAAAAGUGGACCAUAAAAUGUUUAAAUUUCUCGGAAUAUUAAAGAAGUA
rnacentral:misc_RNA from 1 species